CCCCCCCAUAAAAAGAGGAGCUCUUUCCUCAUUUCGGGGGACUCAAAAAAGACACACUCUAACAAACUUAACCAUCACCUUCUACACCUUAAAAAGGCACAAAAACUUCUGAAAAAAUUAGCUGAACAUACUGAAUAGUAAGCUGAAAAUUCUGAACUUUGUGAGUGUUUCUUAGAGUGUAAGACUUGUAAGAAAAUAAAGGAAUCCUAGGUGAUUUCUUCGGGAAGUAGCUACUGGUUUCAAAUACUUUCUUGCUGGAUUUUUCUGGGCUGUUUCUCGGAUCAUACGUUGUUGAUUUUGAUGUUGUUGCAUUGCUGUUAGUUGCUGAAAUUUAGUCCCUCCCUUAUUAAUAUUUUUUUUUGUUGCUCAGGUAAUUUCCUCAACUGUUGUGCUACUUCUGGGUCAAGAAUGUAUGCAAAAAUGAGAUAAUUUUCUGCUUCUUUAGUUUACUUUCAUGCCUUCAAUAAGGUCCGCUCAUUAUGAUGAAUAUAUAUGGAAUACCUGUAAUUAAAUAGUUCCAACUUUUCUUAUUUUCUUGUCAAGUUAUUAGAGUUGCGGAUACAAGUUAUGUUAGGGGUGUGUGAAUUACUUCAUAUCAGUUUUUUUAUUCAUAUUGUUUGUGUUGUUCUAAAAAUCAUCAUGCGGAUCUUAGUUGUGGAGGUUGCCUAAAUUUAUAAAUUUGAAGUAAAGUUUAGUUCUUAUAUCAUGAGUUGGAAAUAAUUAAUUUAAAUUAGCUAAAUGUUUAAAGAAAUAAAUUUGAUUAUUUUCUUGAUUGUUCUAUGUUCGUAAUUAAAAAUUACUGUUUGUGGCUUAAAUAUCUUUUGUUGUUGGAAUACCAUUCGAGUUCAACUUGUCAAUGAUGGUUGCUCAACUUCUUCUAAAUUAGUGAUAUUUACAAAUCAUGUAACUAUCUGAACUCUCAUGCUAGUCUAAAGUUAUUUUUCAUGGGUAUCAAAAUUUAAUUUUUUUUCAUAAAAUUAGAAUACGUAUACGGGUUUGAUAAGACUAUGAUAUCAAUGAGGAUGUGAAAAGGGGUUUUUCUUUGAGGUGUUAUAUUGGUGUAAAGACUCUCGGUGAACUUUGGCCAAAUUUUAGUUUCAUAUAAAAAUAAUAUUUUUCCUAAAGAAAUAUAAAUCCGUUAGGCCAAAUAGGUGUGAGAUCGUUAAGUUAUUAUUUUUUUAAUGGUAUAUUUUUAUAUUUUUCAUGGAUAAAUAGAAAAGAGAAAGGGAAGAAAGAAAGUGAUUUGCGGCAGUUUGUUUUCUUGCACUUAGAAUUGAGAAAAUUGUAUUUUAAAAUCAUAGUGGGCCCAGUACUAUUUAACGAUC
rnacentral:lncRNA from 1 species